GCGCCCGUAGCUCAGCUGGAUAGAGCACCAGACUUCGAAUCUGGGGGUCAGGAGUUCGAAUCUCUUCGGGCGCGCCA
rnacentral:tRNA from 1 species